AUUGAACGCUAGCGGCAUGCUUUACACAUGCAAGUCGAACGAGUGGCGGACGGGUGAGUAAUAUAUAGGAACCUGCCCAGUAGCGGGGGCUAACUACUCGAAAGAGUGGCUAAUACCGCCUACUCUUGGAGCGCCCGAUAUGGGAUUAGCUAGUCGGGGGGGUAAAGGCUCACCAAGGCAACGAUCCGUAGCUGGUUUGAGAGGAGGACCAGCCACACUGGGACUGAGACACGGCCCAGACUCCUACGGGAGGCAGCAGUGGGGAAUUUUGGACAAUGGGGGAAACCCUGAUCCAGCCAUCCCGCGUGUAUGAGAAGGCCUUCGGGUUGUAAAGUACUUUUGGCAGAGAAGCGGUAUCUGCAGAAUAAGCACCGGCUAACUACGUGCCAGCAGCCGCGGUAAUUC
rnacentral:rRNA from 1 species